rnacentral:miRNA from 1 species
UGAGAAUAGAGAGGUUCAGAUUUGACUUCCACUACUGCUACCUGUCACUCCUGUCAGUGGUUUAAUGCACAUUUGAUUCGUGUAGAUUAAACACAUCUGAUUGGUUAAUGGUAACGGUAGUGGAAGUCAAAUCUGAACCUUUCUACUUCUA